AAGUGAUACAAUUUUCUUGAAGUAGAGACAUAGAGAAGAGUUUCUGUGAUAUGUUGUUCAAGGGCUUAUUCCAUGUCACGGGUCACUGGAAGUGAUACAAUUUUCUUGAAGUAGAGACAUAGAGAAGAGUUUCUGUGGAGCUAAAGAUAGAGAUACACACUAAAGACAGAGUUGGGUUAUUAUAUGAUGCUAUACGGUCAAUAGCGUCAUAUAACGGUGUCAAUACUUACAAGGCAGAGACCGGACGGUGGCCGGAGGACGGACGGUGGUGGUCGGAGUAAAGCUAGAUGAGUAGAGCAGGGUGAGGAACUUGAAUGGGGGUUUUAAGCAUCAUGGUGCUGCUCCACAGGUUAAAUUUACAAGUUUUGAUGCCAGAUUGCAUAAUGGCCAGUGAAGUUUAGCAAGAUUCAAGUUCUGCAAUUGUAAAGGAUAGGUUAGUGGUAGGCAAGAGUUCAAAUGGAUUUAACUUGAACGAUGGGCUAAUAGUUGGAUAAAAAAGUAUUGUAAAUGGUCUUCGUGGUUGCAGUGAAGUUAGUGGUAUGAUUAGGUUACAAAGAAAUGAUUUUGAUUGUAAUUCAAUACAUCUGAUAACAUUUCUUAGGCAAAUUGCUAAACAAGGUGUAGACGUCAUUGACUUUUUGCUAUUAAGAAACAUGCCAGCCUCUUUACUAGACUUUCCCAGCCUCUUUACUAACCCUUUUUGGAGUUGUUUUGUUUCAUGGUCUAAUAUAAUGCAGCCUAGAUGUACACCUUCAAAAUUCGGCACUGAUGAUCAUGUUGGCUAGCCUUUGGUUGGCCAUAUUUUCACCUUCAUUACCCGUGGCGCAACAUAUGCAG
rnacentral:lncRNA from 1 species